GGGGGCGACCGGUUUCGACGGGGAUAUUGACGCCAUCGUCGCAUGUCGAGAUCUCGGGAACUCGUAAAAUUCCGGGAAAAACGCAACUGCCAACCAAGAACUGGCACUCGCAGCCUAAUUUAGGCUGAGACGUCGUUCCAUCUGAGG
rnacentral:tmRNA from 1 species